GUGCUCACUUGGGCAAUUUUAAACUUAAAAUUGGAAGGAUACAGAGAAGGUUCAUAUGACCUCUGUGUGAGUAUGACACACAAAUUCAUGGAGCUUUCCAUAUUUAG